UUCUCUUUAAAUGGGAAACGACGCCUUAAGUUCAAACACUUCCAUUAUGCUUGACACAGUUAUUAUUUUAGUUGCGUUUUGGUUAAUGCGUCCCGAAGUUUUUCUAAUUAAUUUUUUUUUAUACUCCUGCAGGCUCGAUGAUUUUGUUGGAUAACACCUAAUGAAUUUAGAUUGCUUUUGGGGCUCGAUGAUUUUGCUGGAUAACACCUAAUGAAUUUAGAAUGCUUUGGGGUUUUGAAGAUCAAAGUUACAAGUCAAGAUGCAUUAUUUUGCUAGAAAUAUUUUGUAGAACUCAAUAUAAUAGUCUAGCUCGAGGUGUUAGCAAUGUCUUUUUGUUAAGGUGUCAAGCAAAUAUUGAAACUAACAUCAUGGGAUGUUAACCAUUUUAUUGUAAUUAAUAACUAGCUCUUUUCCUC